rnacentral:rRNA from 1 species
UACAGAGGUCUCGAGCGUUGUUCGGAUUUACUGGGCGUAAAGGGCGCGUAGGCGGCAGACCAAGUCCGGGGUGAAAUCUUUCGGCUUAACCGGAAAAGGGCCUUGGAUACUGGUUUGCUAGAGGGAGGUAGGGGUCUGUGGAACUUCUGGUGGAGCGGUGAAAUGCGUAGAUAUCUGGAGGAACACCGGUGGCGAAGGCGGCGUUCUGGACUGCUACUGACACUGAGGAACGAAAGCCAGGGGAGCAAACGGG